ensembl:lncRNA
CUACUCUGUUUCCUCUCUCCAGCCCUGAUGUCAGAUUGUUUCCCUCCAAGUACUGGUCUGAGGAUCCCCUACGGGCAGAUCUUUACAGUGAUUGCUUUUUUCCUGAUUGCUGCUGCUGUUUUCAGGUUUGUGAAGGAAGUGGCUACGUUAGACUAGCAAUUGCAGAGCUGGACUGGUGACCACUGUAGAUGUAGAGCCCCCAGAUGAUACAAGUUCUUCCUUAGAAGACCCCGAGGUGAUUCUGCACACCCUGCUCUGGGUGACCCUGCUGGAGCAGUGUGACAAGCUGCUCUACACUCCAUGUGUGAUCAAGGAACUCUGCAGGAAGCAGGCAACUCUGGAAAGAGAGUCGUUCCCCUGUCUCCAUGAGAACUCCCCUUUCUGUGUAAUUUGUCAUUUGAAGAAGUAGUUCAGGUUCACCCUGCUAAGAACGAUGCGUGCCCUUCUGCCUGAGACAAGAGCAGGCAGUUUCUGUCUGUCAGAGAGGUAGGCAUCCCCAUGCUGCAUGGCUCCAGCAGCUGAGGCCACCAGCAGCAGCAGGGCAAUGCGAAGAACUCAAGCUGCUGCAUCAGUUUAACGCGUUGCUGUCUGCAAGGCUUGAUGCGGGGCAGCGAGGAGGAGAGAGGGUAAGACAAAGAUUGUGUUUAAAUAACCACUUAGGCCGGUUGGCAAUAAGCAGGUUCUUUUUUUCUCUGAUGGUUUAUACCCACUGUGUUUCUGUUCGACCCGGCCUUUUCCUGAGCUGAAGCCAAGGGAUUUUUCCAUGUCCCCAAGGAGUGUGUUAGAAAAGCAGCGUUUAUGUUAGGGGACUUCAUUAACAUUACGAGUAAGUUGUAGUACCCAGAGACUAUCACAGGCUCAGCAGAAUGGAGCAAACGAGUCCUUGUUCCUUUGCGUCAUUGGCCCAAGCAGCCACCAGGCUGAAACCCAACCCUGGCUGCUUGCCUUCAGGGGAAAAAAUAAGAAGGGUAAAGUAAACAAGGCCCCUGUUCAGCUUUCCUGGACCUCGAUGGGAAUUGCUUGCAAUUAUACAUCAAAACUAUGAGCUGGCUCUGAACAGGCACAGCUCUGCUCCGCUGAGGCUGCAACCUUGUGCAGAAACCUCCUGCCUGCAGCCACUCCGGCUGGCCUCUACGUCCUGGACCACAGAGCCAGGAAACUAUUAAGUAUGUGCUUAAACCUGCUGCUCCUCAGGACAGCGCUGAUUUGACACCCGCAUAGCUUAAAAGCAGGCGUGAGGUUACAGGCUUUCCUGAACAUGGUGGCUUUGCCCAGGCUAGGUCUCAGCCGCUCAUUAUUUUAUCCUGAUGACAGCUGAGGUUUGGGGAUUUUUUGCCUGCAGAGUUCCCUCCCGCUCUGCAUUCCCAUUCCCCUAUCCCCUCACCAUCAGGGCACACGCAGCUAUGCUGUACCCAGGACACCUCCUGCCUCUGCAGUCUCUCCCCGUCAGCAUUCCAACACCCCCACACCCACGAUGGAGAAGGCUCAGGCUGCCGGGACAGAGAGAGAGCAAAAGAGCCGUGGAUGCAGGUGCCCCAAGGUUGUCUGAGUUGCUCCAUUCCCUUCUGCCCACUGCAGAGCCUCUGGGCUUUUCUCCUUUCCCCCACCAGCACAGGUCCUACAUGUAUUCAACAGGGAGCCCAGCACCUUUGCUCUUCUACAGAAGACAUAAUUUUGUACGUUUAUAGCUAAUUUCUUCAAACAUAUGCUUUCAC